GAUGAACUCUGGCGGCGUGCCUAAUACAUGCAAGUCGAGCGAAGCGGGGACGGGUGAGUAACCCAUGGAUAACCUCCUAUAAGACUGGGAUAACUUCCGGAAACCGGACCUAAACCGGAUACUUCUAGUUGGAUCCGCGCUGCAUUAGCUAGUUGGUAAGGUAACGGCUUACCAAGGCAACGAUGCAUAGCCGACCUGAGCGGGUGAUCGGCCAAACUGGAACUGAGACACGGGCCAGACGCCUACGGGAGGCAGCAGUAGGGAAUCUUCCGCAAUGGGCGAAAGCCUGACGGAGCAACGCCGCGUGAGUGAUGAAGGUCUGCGGAUCGUAAAACUCUGGUAUUAGGGAAGCGGUACCUAAUCAGAAAGCCACGGCUAACUACGUGCCAGCAGCCGCGGUAAUUC
rnacentral:rRNA from 1 species